CAGUCAGGAUGGCCGAGUGGUCUAAGGCGCCAGACUCCGAGAGGGAGCGUGGGUUCAAAUCCCACUUUUGACAU
rnacentral:tRNA from 1 species